rnacentral:rRNA from 1 species
GAUGAACGCUGGCGGCGUGCUUAACACAUGCAAGUCGAACGGAAAGGCUCCUGCUUGCAGGGGUACUCGAGUGGCGAACGGGUGAGUAACACGUGGGUGAUCUGCCCUGCACUUCGGGAUAAGCCUGGGAAACUGGGUCUAAUACCGGAUAGGACGAUGGUUUGGAUGCCAUUGUGGAAAGUUUUUUCGGUGUGGGAUGAGCUCGCGGCCUAUCAGCUUGUUGGUGGGGUAAUGGCCUACCAAGGCGUCGACGGGUAGCCGGCCUGAGAGGGUGUACGGCCACAUUGGGACUGAGAUACGGCCCAGACUCCUACGGGAGGCAACAGUGGGGAAUAUUGCACAAUGGGCGCAAGGCUGAUGCAGCGGCGCCGGGUGGGGGAUGACGGCCUUCGGGUUGGAAACUCCUUUCGCUAGGGACGAAGCGCAAGUGACGGUACCUGGAGAAGAAGCACCGGCUAACUACGUG